UACGGAGGGGGCUAGCGUUGUUCGGAAUUACUGGGCGUAAAGCGCACGUAGGCGGAUCGGAAAGUUGGGGGUGAAAUCCCGGGGCUCAACCUCGGAACUGCCUUCAAAACUAUCGGUCUUGAGUUCGAGAGAGGUGAGUGGAAUUCCGAGUGUAGAGGUGAAAUUCGUAGAUAUUCGGAGGAACAUCAGUGGCGAAGGCGGCUCACUGGCUCGAUACUGACGCUGAGGUGCGAAAGCGUGGGGAGCAAAC
rnacentral:rRNA from 1 species